AGGAGGAACAACCCCAGUGGCGGCGGUCAGCCCUGGAGCCCUGGAGUAAGCCCCCACAGUAACUCCGGAGCUCUCCAUCUGCAGGGCCUGGAGGCUCCGGGGUGGG
rnacentral:pre_miRNA from 1 species